GACGAACGCUGGCGGCGCGCUUAACACAUGCAAGUCGAACGGAAAGGCCUGCUUUCCCUUGUGGAUUGCGGGUACUCGAGUGGCGAACGGGUGAGUAACACGUGAGUGAUCCGCCCCCAACUUGGGUAUAAGCCUGGGAAACUGGGUCUAAUUCCCGAUAGGACUGCAGGGUGGUGCCUGUGGUGGAAAACGAUUUUCUAGUGGUUGGGGAUGAGCUCGCGGCCUAUCAGCUUGUUGGUGGGGUAAUGGCCUACCAAGGCGGCGACGGGUAGCCGGCCUGAGAGGGUGGACGGCCACAUUGGGACUGAGAUACAGCCCAGACUCCUACGGGAGGCAGCAGUGGGGAAUAUUGCACAAUGGGCGGAAGCCUGAUGCAGCGACGCCGCGUGGGGGAUGACGGCCUUCGGGUGGUAAACUCCUUUCGACCGCGAGGAAGCCACCUGGUUGGAAGGGUGGUGACGGUAGUGGUAGAAGAAGCACCGGCUAACUACGUG
rnacentral:rRNA from 1 species